GAGUUUGAUCCUGGCUCAGGAUGAACGCUAGCGACAGGCUUAACACAUGCAAGUCGAGGGGCAGCGGUGGUGAAGGCUUGCCUUCACCAGCCGGCGACCGGCGCACGGGUGAGUAACACGUAUGCAACCUGCCUGCCACAGCCGGAUAAUCGGGAGAAAUCCCGUCUAAUACGGCAUAAUGCAUCGACGGGACAUCCUGUUGGUGCCAAAGGUUAAUUCCGGUGGCGGAUGGGCAUGCGUCGCAUUAGUUAGUUGGCGGUGUAACGGACCACCAAGACGACGAUGCGUAGGGGUUCUGAGAGGAAGGUCCCCCACACUGGUACUGAGACACGGACCAGACUCCUACGGGAGGCAGCAGUGAGGAAUAUUGGUCAAUGGGCGGGAGCCUGAACCAGCCAAGUCGCGUGAGGGAUGACGGCCCUAUGGGUUGUAAACCUCUUUUGCCGGGGAGCAAAGUGCCGCACGUGUGCGGUUUGGAGAGUACCCGGAGAAAAAGCAUCGGCUAACUCCGUGCCAGCAGCCGCGGUAAUACGGAGGAUGCGAGCGUUAUCCGGAUUUAUUGGGUUUAAAGGGUGCGUAGGCGGACGCUUAAGUCAGCGGUAAAAUUGCGGGGCUCAACCUCGUCGAGCCGUUGAAACUGGGUGCCUUGAGUGGGCGAGAAGUACGCGGAAUGCGUGGUGUAGCGGUGAAAUGCAUAGAUAUCACGCAGAACUCCGAUUGCGAAGGCAGCGUACCGGCGCCCAACUGACGCUGAAGCACGAAGGCGUGGGUAUCGAACAGGAUUAGAUACCCUGGUAGUCCACGCAGUAAACGAUGAAUGCUAGUUGUCCGGGGCGAUUGAGUUCUGGGUGACACAGCGAAAGCGUUAAGCAUUCCACCUGGGGAGUACGCCGGCAACGGUGAAACUCAAAGGAAUUGACGG
rnacentral:rRNA from 1 species